GUGAACGCUGGCGGUAGGCCUAACACAUGCAAGUCGAACGGCAGCACAGUAAGAGCUUGCUCUUACGGGUGGCGAGUGGCGGACGGGUGAGGAAUACAUCGGAAUCUACUUUUUCGUGGGGGAUAACGUAGGGAAACUUACGCUAAUACCGCAUACGACCUACGGGUGAAAGCAGGGGAUCUUCGGACCUUGCGCGAUUGAAUGAGCCGAUGUCGGAUUAGCUAGUUGGCGGGGUAAAGGCCCACCAAGGCGACGAUCCGUAGCUGGUCUGAGAGGAUGAUCAGCCACACUGGAACUGAGACACGGUCCAGACUCCUACGGGAGGCAGCAGUGGGGAAUAUUGGACAAUGGGCGCAAGCCUGAUCCAGCCAUACCGCGUGGGUGAAGAAGGCCUUCGGGUUGUAAAGCCCUUUUGUUGGGAAAGAAAAGCAGCAGGUUAAGACCCCGCUGUUCGGACGGUACCCAAAGAAUAGCACCGGCUAACUUCGUG
rnacentral:rRNA from 1 species